UACGUAGGUGGCAAGCGUUGUUCGGAAUUAUUGGGCGUAAAGGGCGCGUAGGCGGUUUGUUAAGUCAGUUGUGAAAGCCCGGGGCUCAACCCCGGAGAGUCGACUGAUACUGGCAGACUAGAGUACGGAAGAGGUAGCUGGAAUUCCCGGUGUAGCGGUGAAAUGCGCAGAUAUCGGGAGGAACACCAGUAGCGAAGGCGGCUCGCUGGGCCGUUCCUGACGCUGAGACGCGAAAGCUAGGGGAGCGAACAGG
rnacentral:rRNA from 1 species